CCUACGGGAGGCAGCAGUAGGGAAUCUUCCACAAUGGACGAAAGUCUGAUGGAGCAAUGCCGCGUGAGUGAAGAAGGGUUUCGGCUCGUAAAACUCUGUUGUUAAAGAAGAACACCUUUGAGAGUAACUGUUCAAGGGUUGACGGUAUUUAACCAGAAAGCCACGGCUAACUACGUGCCAGCAGCCGCGGUAAUACGUAGGUGGCAAGCGUUGUCCGGAUUUAUUGGGCGUAAAGCGAGCGCAGGCGGUUUUUUAAGUCU
rnacentral:rRNA from 1 species